rnacentral:rRNA from 1 species
CGUGUAGGCGGGAGAGCAAGUCAGAUGUGAAAUUCCAUGGCUUAACUGUGGGACUGCAUCUGAAACUGUUUUUCUUGAGUACUGGAGAGGAAAGUGGAAUUCCUAGUGUAGCGGUGAAAUGCGUAGAUAUUAGGAGGAACACCAGUGGCGAAGGCGACUUUCUGGACAGUAACUGACGCUGAGGCGCGAAAGCGUGGGGAGCAAACA